CUAUCCCAAUUUUGCAAACCCACUUCCUAAACUCAUUUCACACAAAAUGGUGAAGAAGAAUUUGAAGAAUUUACGCCCCACAAUAACCACUUCCCCAUCUCAUGAUCGAUAACCAUACCUAGUCGGAGUAUAUUUCAAGUUCAAUAUCCUACAGCUCGUAUUUGGCUCCAAGUUUACAUCGGGUAAAUAUCAUUUUCAUUUUUAAGAUUUAAAUGUUUUGAAUAGUUUGUGUUUUAUUUGUGUUAUGGGUGGUUGCAAUUUGAAGUUGAGGGAAAAUUCAUAUGUAGGGUUUUUUUUUUUUUUUUGGUAAAGACAUCCACACAUCCUUAGUGACUUUUUAGGGUCCACCAAGGAAGGUCAAUGAGAGUUAAGGGUUCCCCAACCAUAUUUAUUUCAUAAAAAUCAAGAAUACACGAAAUUCAUAUGUAGGGUUUCGAUUUAAUAAGUGACGAUAUUCAAAUUCCUAAAAUAAUUGAGAUUUUCAAAUGUUUUCCAUGUAAUGUUGGGUAGAAUUAUUUAGUUUGUCUAAUUUUUAUUUUAUUAUUUUUUUUUGUUUAAGAAAAAUCAAGAUUUGUUCCUUUAUUUUUUUUCCUCCUUUUUAUGUGGUGUUCCUAUUGUUUUGAACCAGGAUUACUUAAUUUUUAAUGGUCUAUAAGUUCUGCUAAUGAAAAAGUGAAAAUAGGUAAAAAUGUAGCGCACUCUUAUUUAGUGAAUUACAUUUAGGCUACACUGGGAAGUAAGAAUGAAUGAAAUUUUAGUACGCUCUUGUUUAGUGUUAGUUGUAUAAUUUGACAAUUUUACUUGAUUUUGAAGUUUUACCGAGAUUUUUUUUUCCAAAUAUGUUAUUGUUUUAGGUGUUAUCGUUAAAUUAAAUUCUUGUUGUAUUGUGUUAUGAAUAUAAUUUUAAGUUUGCAUGAAGUUAGUCUCUCUUUUUUUUCCCCCAAAUUAGCUUAGUUACAUUUAUUUGUAAGCUCGUUCAUUUAUCUAUAUAUUUUGAUAUUUUUUAUCGAGUCAUUGAUUCAUUUUUAGAUGAAUGAGGAGUAGUGUUUAUUCCGUGAUUAUGUUUUCUCAAAUACUUGAUUAUUCGAUUUGUAAGUACAAUAAUUUAAAUGCAUAUAAACCUUUUUUAUCUUUUACUAACAGUGAGUUGUUGAAUCAAUUUAUGGUCAGCUCACGUGUCAUUUGGAUGAAAAUUUUGAGUUUAAUUUAAAUGUGGGCUGAAUUUAUGAGUUGAUACGUUUUUAAAUUCGAUGUAUUGUGGUUCAAUUUAAGGAUUCAAAUAUUUGAUUCAUGUUAGCAUAUGGAGAAUUCACGUGUAGUGCUUAUGGAAUCCAUCUGUCGAGAUAAAACUAUCAUUCUUGAGAGUUAUGAUCUGAAAUUUGCGAUAGUUGGUUAUUGUUUCUUAACAAUUAUGAUACAAUGCAAAACAUAAAUCAUCUACUCUUCUACAAGUGUUACGAAGUAAAUGUAUUACAUAUUAUAAUUUGAUAUUCGGUAUUUGUUUAUUUUACUGAUUUUUGAAUAGUUUGACAAACUAUAAUGAUAUUGGAGGAGUGCUUGAAUGGCAUGUCACCACCAUAUUCUACUAAAGGAGCUGUCUUAGAGGUGCCUUCAAAUGCUAUCGAUCCAAUUAAAAAUGAAGAAAUGGUGGUGAUGAAGAAACCGCACUUCAGCAAAUUUGAAUAUCAUCUGUUUCGAAUCGAACUCAAUACAUUAGGAGUGGUAAAAAGAGAGGAAAAAUAUAAAAUAAUUGAAAAUUAUUGAAUAGAAAGUAUUGUUGUCCCUUUCUGAAGGAUUGAGAAUAGCAAAACUUUGCAGGUUAUGAAGCUCAUAUAUCUAAUCUUUGUACUUUCAGGUUGGAAAAUAUUGGAUAACUUAUUUUCGUGUAUGUGCAGUAUUUUGUAGUUUGCGAAAAUAUAGUUGUUUAGCCAGUCAUGUAGUUUGAUUGUGUAAUUGUUACUAGUUGUGUGUUAUAAUCACGGUCGAAUUUAGGUAUACUUAGCCAAGUGCAAAAAAUUACAUGGACUUCUGACUGAGAAUAGCAGAAAUUUGCAGGUUAUGAAGCUCAUAUAUCUAAUCUUUGUACUUUCAGGUUGUAAAAUAUUGUAUAACUUAUUUUUGUGUAUGCGCAGUUUAUUUUUUAGUUUGAGAAAAUAUAGUUGUUUAGCCAGUUAUGUAGCUUGAUUGUGUAACUGUUACUAGUUAUGUAUUAUAAUCAUGGUCGAGUUUAAGUAUACUUAGCCAAGUGCAAAAAAUUACAUGGACUUCACAAUUUUUUUCAAUUUAG
rnacentral:lncRNA from 1 species